rnacentral:tRNA from 1 species
UAGAUAUAAAUAUUUACUUGCAAUAAAAAUAUAUAGAUAAAAUCUAUUAUAUCUAU